CCCCCCCCCCCCCCCCCCCCCCCCCCCCCCCCCCCCCCCCCCCCCCCCCCCCCCCCCCCCCCCCCCCCCCCGCUGCCGGGCCGCUCCGGGCCGCUCCGCCCGCGCCCUCAUUGGGCGAGCGCCGCCGCCAGCGGUACUUCAAAGCGGGCGCUGCCCGCACUUAGGCAGAGUUUGGCCCCGCCGCGCCGGAGUGUCCUUAGUGCCGCCGGGCAGCGCGGGGCGCUCACCGAGCGCCGUCCCCUCCGCCCCACAGCCCAGCCCACGGACGUGCUAUGGCUACGUCUAUCCUCGGGGAAGAGCCGAGAUUUGGAACGACUCCCCUGGCCAUGCUGGCCGCCACCUGCAACAAGAUCGGCAACACCAGUCCCCUGACUACUCUGCCCGAGUCUAGCGCCUUCGCCAAAGGGGGCUUCCACCCCUGGAAACGCUCCACCUCCAGCUGCAACCUGGGCUCCAGCCUCUCGGGCUUCACGGUGGCCACGAGUAGGGGUUCCAACGGACUGGCCAGCGGCACGGGCACCGCCAACAGCGCCUUCUGCCUGGCUUCCACCUCGCCCACUUCCUCGGCCUUCAGCAGCGACUACGGCGGCCUCUUCUCCAACUCGGCGGCGGCGGGCGUGUCCCCGCAGGAGCCCGGCGGGCAGUCGGCCUUCAUCUCCAAAGUGCACAGCUCGGCGGCCGAGAGCCUCUACCCGCGGGUGGGCAUGGCGCACCCCUACGAGUCCUGGUACAAGUCGGGCUUCCACUCCACGCUCUCGGCGGGAGAGGUGGCCAACGGAGCGGCACUCCACGCUCUGGGCGGGAGAGGUGGCCAACGGAGCGGCCUCCUCCUGGUGGGAUGUGCACACCAACCCGGGCUCCUGGCUCGAGGUGCAGAACCCGGCGGGGGGGCUGCAGAGCUCGCUGCACUCGGGCGCCCCCCAGGCCUCGUUGCACUCCCAACUGGGCACCUACAACCCCGACUUCAGCUCCCUCACCCACUCCGCCUUCAGCUCCACCGGCCUGGGCUCCACGGCCGCCUCGCACCUGCUCUCCACCAGCCAGCACCUGCUCACCCAGGAGGGCUUCAAGCCCGUGCUGCCCUCCUACACGGACUCCAGCGCGGCGGUGGCGGCGGCCAGCGCCAUGAUCUCGGGCGCCCCCCCCCCCCCCCCCCCCCCCCCCCCCCCCCCCCCCCCCCCCCCCCCCCCCCCCCCCCCCCCCCCCCCCCCCCCCCCCCCCCCCCCCCCC
rnacentral:lncRNA from 12 species